UACGGGGGGGGCAAGCGUUGUUCGGAAUUACUGGGCGUAAAGGGCGCGUAGGCGGCCUGCUAAGUCGGAUGUGAAAUCCCUCGGCUCAACCGAGGAACUGCAUCCGAUACUGGCGGGCUUGAAUCCGGGAGAGGGAUGUGGAAUUCCAGGUGUAGCGGUGAAAUGCGUAGAGAUCGGGAGGAACAUCCGUGGCGAAGGCGACUACCUGGACCAGCACUGACACUGAGGCACGAAAGCGUGGGGAGCAAACAGGG
rnacentral:rRNA from 1 species